UACGUAGGUGGCGAGCGUUGUCCGGAUUUACUGGGCGUAAAGGGCGCGUAGGCGGCUCGGCACGUCCGUUGUGAAAUCGCCCGGCUCAACUGGGCGGGGUCAGCGGAUACGGUCGAGCUUGAGCAAGCUAGGGGGCAAUGGAAUUCCCGGUGUAGUGGUGGAAUGCGUAGAUAUCGGGAGGAACACCAGUGGCGAAGGCGGUUGCCUGGAGCUUUGCUGACGCUGAGGCGCGAAAGCGUGGGGAGCGAUCCGG
rnacentral:rRNA from 1 species